rnacentral:rRNA from 1 species
CCUACGGGGGGCUGCAGUGGGGAAUAUUGCACAAUGGGCGCAAGCCUGAUGCAGCCAUGCCGCGUGUAUGAAGAAGGCCUUCGGGUUGUAAAGUACUUUCAGUCGUGAGGAAGGUGUUAAGGUUAAUAACCUUAGCAAUUGACGUUAGCGACAGAAGAAGCACCGGCUAACUCCGUGCCAGCAGCCGCGGUAAUACGGAGGGUGCGAGCGUUAAUCGGAAUUACUGGGCGUAAAGCGUGCGCAGGCGGUUUGCUAAGACCGAUGUGAAAUCCCCGGGCUCAACCUGGGAACUGCAUUGGUGACUGGCAGGCUAGAGUAUGGCAGAGGGGGGUAGAAUUCCAUGUGUAGCGGUGAAAUGCGUAGAGAUGUGGAGGAAUACCGGUGGCGAAGGCGGCCCCCUGGACAAAGACUGACGCUCAUGUGCGAAAGCGUGGGGAGCAAACAGGAUUAGAUACCCUGGUAGUC